rnacentral:rRNA from 1 species
ACAGCAGUAGCCGCGGUAAUACGAAGGGGGCUAGCGUUGUUCGGAAUUACUGGGCGUAAAGCGCACGUAGGCGGAUAUUUAAGUCAGGGGUGAAAUCCCGCAGCUCAACUGCGGAACUGCCUUUGAUACUGGGUAUCUUGAGUAUGGAAGAGGUUAGUGGAAUUGCGAGUGUAGAGGUGAAAUUCGUAGAUAUUCGCAAGAACACCAGUGGCGAAGGCGGCUCACUGGCCCGAUACUGACGCUGAGGCACGAAAGCGUGGGGAGCAAACAGGAUUAGAGACCCCCGUAGUCCCUGUCUCUUAUAC